GCCUGCCAACGGCAUGUCGAUCAACUGUACCGUUAGUCAGUGUUGUUUACAAAUCUAAAUGGAAGGUUCAUCAAAUUUAACGCAUUUGACUUGUGCAUGGAUCUGCGAUGCUGUAGGUGUUCAAAAAGAAGUCGGCAUGGACUGACAAGGUCAUAAAGGUGGUCAAGAAAUAAAUUGCCAACAGACAGCAGCAUUCCUUGAUUUAGAUGCAUUUCUCUUCAUGUCCUCUCCUGAAAGAUUUUCCAUGAUGCCUCAGGGUUAGGAUUGGGAUGCAAGAUGUACAGUACAUAUAUAUGAUGUCUAUGGGUACAUUGCUGUAAUGGCCUGAAAAAUCUUUUGCGAAACCGAGAAAUGUUCAUCUUCCAUUGCCAUGAUUGUGUAAAAGGACGAGCAGAGGAAUGAUUCAAUAUAUGGCAGGAUUGAGAAUCUAAACCAUGACCCGUAUUCUGGUACUCUACCCACUGAUCAAUCCAUGCUGAUGGUCCAUCUGCUACAUUUAUGUCAUCUUAUAUAUUCAUUUAUAUCAUGGACAUUUAAAAAUUGACAGUAAAAUAAAAAAAAGUUUGAUAUUCAGCAAAAUAGAAUUUGUUACAAUACAUGUUUAAGAAAUUAAGUACAUGUACAUGCAUUGUUAUGC